AUCUAAAAUGUGCCGAAUUUCCACAGGAAUACGGAGGAACCAAUUUAUUGGGGUGAAUCCUGCGCCCGGCGCAGGUAGGGAUCCCUGUCCCGAACCCGUCAGCUAACUCCGGAGGCAUGGGGACUGUUGAA
rnacentral:sRNA from 2 species